rnacentral:rRNA from 1 species
GUGGGGAAUUUUGGACAAUGGGCGCAAGCCUGAUCCAGCAAUGCCGCGUGCAGGAAGAAGGCCUUCGGGUUGUAAACUGCUUUUGUACGGAACGAAACGGUCCUGGCUAAUACCUGGGGCUAAUGACGGUACCGUAAGAAUAAGCACCGGCUAACUACGUGCCAGCAGCCGCGGUAAUACGUAGGGUGCGAGCGUUAAUCGGAAUUACUGGGCGUAAAGCGUGCGCAGGCGGUGCUGUAAGACAGGCGUGAAAUCCCCGGGCUCAACCUGGGAAUUGCGCUUGUGACUCCAGUGCUGGAGUGCGGCAGAGGGGGAUGGAAUUCCGCGUGUAGCAGUGAAAUGCGUAGAUAUGCAGAGGAACACCGAUGGCGAAGGCAAUCCCCUGGGCCUGCACUGACGCUCAUGCACGAAAGCGUGGGGAGCAAACAGGAUUAGAAACCCCAGUAGUCC